rnacentral:rRNA from 1 species
UACGUAAGGCGCAAGCGUUAUCCGGAAUUAUUGGGCGUAAAGAGCUCGUAGGCGGUCUGUCACGUCGGGAGUGAAAACUCAGGGCUUAACCCUGAGCCUGCUUCCGAUACGGGCAGGCUAGAGUUCGGUAGGGGAGACUGGAAUUCCUGGUGUAGCGGUGAAAUGCGCAGAUAUCAGGAGGAACACCGGUGGCGAAGGCGGGUCUCUGGGCCGAUACUGACGCUGAGGAGCGAAAGCGUGGGGAGCGAACAGG